rnacentral:rRNA from 1 species
UGCGCAGGCGGUUAUGUAAGUCAGAUGUGAAAUCCCCGGGCUUAACCUGGGAAUGGCAUUUGAGACUGCAUGGCUAGAGUGUGUCAGAGGGGGGUAGAAUUCCACGUGUAGCAGUGAAAUGCGUAGAGAUGUGGAGGAAUACCGAUGGCGAAGGCAGCCCCCUGGGAUAACACUGACGCUCAUGCACGAAAGCGUGGGGAGCAAACAGGAUUAGAUACCCUGGUAGUCCACGCCCUAAACGAUGUCUACUAGUUGUCGGGACUUAAUUGUCUUGGUAACGCAGCUAACGCGUGAAGUAGACCGCCUGGGGAGUACGGUCGCAAGAUUAAA